AAGCCUCACUAUGUUGCCCAGGCUGGUCUUGAACUCCUGGGCUCAAGGGAUCCUCCUGCCUUGCCCUCCCGAAGUGUUGGGGUUACAGGUGUGAGCCACCGCACCCGGCCUAGACCCAAUUUAGUCCUUUAUGGAUUUGAAAUGAUUUGUGAGGAUUCCGGAAGAGUCUGAGAGAAGGCUGGAAGAAGGCUGGAGGGUGGUGUCAUGGGAUGCAUGUGCAGAUUCAGAAGUGGCAGGUGCAGAAGAAGAGCAUCCAGGACAAGCAGCUGUCUCUAUGCCACAUCAUUUGGCACCCUGCGAUGUCACCUUGCUUUUCAGGAGUGCAGCCGGUUGUGGACAUUUUGGAAUUGUUUUGCUUUUGGAAUGGGUGUUGGGGUGAAGCAUUCUUCUGCUGGGUUUUCAGAUGUAGCUCUAACUAGCCACAUCACUUCAGCCAAGUCAUUUCUCUCUGGGACCCGUCAUCAUCACUCAUAAUAAUACCAUAUGUGUGGAGGUUGAGGGCAAGGAAG
rnacentral:lncRNA from 10 species